CAUGGCUCAGGAUGAACGCUAGCUAUAGGCUUAACACAUGCAAGUCGAGGGGAAACGGCAUUAUGUGCUUGCACAUUCUGGACGUCGACCGGCGCACGGGUGAGUAUCGCGUAUCCAACCUUCCCUCCACUCGGGGAUACCCCGUUGAAAGACGGCCUAAUACCCGAUGUUGUCCACAGAUGGCAUCUGACGUGGACCAAAGAUUCAUCGGUGGAGGAUGGGGAUGCGUCUGAUUAGCUUGUUGGUGCGGGUAACGGCCCACCAAGGCAACGAUCAGUAGGGGUUCUGAGAGGAAGGUCCCCCACAUUGGAACUGAGACACGGUCCAAACUCCUACGG
rnacentral:rRNA from 1 species